rnacentral:lncRNA from 1 species
GCAAAUGGCGUCAUUAGAGCUAAGCGUCAUUAGUGGCAUUAUACGACAUACGAUUGUGCGAAAUAUCUUAGCAGUGUCAAUAUGUCUGGUCCCAAAUAUGUGUCAGUUUAUUGGGAACAGGAAAAUAAAUUUACAACACAAAAAAUAUCUUGUGUAAGAAACCCAAGCCAACUAAAAAACUCGAAAUUUGUUGAUGAUGUUGAACAUCAGGGGAGAGACAAAGACAAACCACAGAAUGGCUGGCAAUGCUUUCCAGGAAGAAUCAUAGCAAUUGGAGCCAAGAAAAAAUCAAUUGAAGCAAAGGGUUUUCUCAAGUACCAAGAAAUUACAGCAGCAGAAAGGGAAGGUGGUGAAAUCGCAGGAACUCAAACUGUUUUGGAUUCCAGUUCAGCGGAAUCAGAUUCAUCUUCCUCAAGUAAAUGUUAUGACAACAUUCCUUCGACAUUUUUUGAAAGUCAGCUUCAAGCUAAGCUAAAUGAGGAUAUUCCUUCAAGUCAGCAGCUUCAAUCUAAGGACAAGGAAAAAGCUAAGAUCACGUGCAGGCAUUGGAGAAGUUAGCCGUCAAAGAAAUGGUGUUGUUCUGUGAAAACCGCAAAGUUUGUCGAAACGUCAGAAUUGCACAUUUCUUAGAUGAAACACCACGACCAUGUGAUCGUAAUUCGUCAGCCGUUUGCGACAUUUGCGCAUCUGAAGCCAUAUAUAAAGAAGUUGACGUCAUACAACAUGUUUGUGAUGUAAGGGAAACUGUUAUGUAAAAUUUCUCGACUCGUUUCACAAUUUCAUUUAUCGUGGAUGUAUUCCGCGCCGACAAAAAGAGGAGCUUGCAUACCGGCGAUGUUAAGGAUUGUGCACUGUACGGCAAAGGUUCAGGUUGGAAAACUGAUAAUGCCUUUAGAUUAGUUCAACAACUAAUUCUGGAUAACGUACUGGAAGAAAGGUUGGUGUGUGAAAAAGGACGACAAGCGUAUGCAAUUAUUCUCAUUGGAAGCAACUGGCCUUUGCAAAGGGUUUUAUAAAUUUAUUAAUUAAAAAUAAUUAAAGGGAAUAAUUUAAAGGGUUAAUUAAGAAUAAGAAUAAGAUUAAAGAAGAAGUGGCCAAAAGAGUAGCAAGAAUUUUUAUGAGCACUCAACAUAUGAGCUCCUCAAAUAUUUCUAUGCGAGAACAUUUAGAAGAAGGAAAGAGUGGGGAGAGCUCUUCACCAUGCAGUCGUUGGCAUUGUGAGUGAGCAAGACGCGUCGUCUGCUACUGGCUUUCGUUUUGAUCUAAAUUCACUUACUCUCAGCUCGGUUGCCAUAUUGAAUUAAAUCAACUUGGCAGUUUCUACUUAAAUUACUUUGCAAACAAAUUUAGGCAAAUUGUUAGAUAUAGUGUAUACAAAUAGACAAAAUUACCACCUGGUUUUAGCGAGCUGCCCGCAACUCAAACAGACCAUUUUGGGGGAUUUUCAGAAAAUCAUUGCUAGGAUUUUUUAAAAUAAACAAAUAGAUGGUUUAUUUUGUUAAUUUUUUUUUCGCUUAGUCGAUUGGUGAAAACCGCAAUCGCCUACCUCUUUUUGGUUUGGGAGUAUCUCAGAAGAACUGUAGGUCCAGCCAAAAUUUGAUUUUUUUGUUUUCGUUUUUAUACAGCCGUUUUCUCUUCAACUGCUGCACCUAAAAAUAUUCUUAUUAGUUUAAAAUGAUGGGAUAGCCAACCUCUUCAAACAAUCACAUUUCAACUUUUUAAAUACUCGGCUCAAAAGCCGAGGUAUUAACGAUUGAAUUUUUUGAAAAAAAUUCCUACAAAUUUAUUUGUUUUUUGGCCAUGCGGGUCUGAAAGCCGGCAAAAAAAAUACAAAAUUCCGUUAAUAAACGGAAUUAAUCAACAAAUGAUUUCGCAGUCUAUUUAUCGGAUAAUAACAAUUUUUCUAGUUUUAUUUUUAAAUUCACCUGUAAUAUUAUUUUCAGUUGUUUUGUUUCUGCCGCCAACCUAACUUCACUGUUAAAACCACCACACUUUUUACGGGGUAAAAAACCAAAUUUUUCCGUUUCACCAGAUACGGAGUUGAAACCCCGGAAAUAAAACUAAUUAGUUCCUCUCGAAAAUUGAAGGUUAUCGAGACUUCAGUGGGAUUUGAACCCACAACCUGUGGCUUGCUAGCUUAGCUCGCCAACCACUACAACAAUUGGCUUAAUAAUUAAAUAUAAUCCUUUUGAUUAAUCCGUAGUUGAGUGCAUGAACAAUUAGGACUUGUAAAUAUUUUCAAAUUUCACAUUGUGAACAUGGAAAACAGUUAGCGGGUGUGACCACGUAUAUAUAAAAUUGGCUAUACUCACAAUGACUAACUUUG